rnacentral:rRNA from 1 species
AAAGAUUAAGCCAUGCAUGUCUAAGUAUAAGCAAUCUAUACGGUGAAACUGCGAAUGGCUCAUUAAAUCAGUUAUCGUUUAUUUGAUAGUACCUUACUACUUGGAUAACCGUGGUAAUUCUAGAGCUAAUACAUGCUAAAAACCCCGACUUCGGAAGGGGUGUAUUUAUUAGAUAAAAAACCAAUGCCCUUCGGGGCUCCUUGGUGAUUCAUAAUAACUUAACGAAUCGCAUGGCCUUGUGCUGGCGAUGGUUCAUUCAAAUUUCUGCCCUAUCAACUUUCGAUUGUAAGGUAUUGGCUUACAAUGGUUU